rnacentral:rRNA from 1 species
UCCAGGGCUACACACGUGUUACAAUGGUCGGUACAAAGAGCAGCCACUUGGUGACAAGGCGCUAAUCUCAAAAGCCGAUCUCAGUUCGGAUCGAAGUCUGCAACUCGACUUCGUGAAGUUGGAUUCGCUAGUAAUCGCGCAUCAGCCAUGGCGCGGUGAAUACGUUCCCGGGCCUU